UUGUAGGUUAUGGACACUGGUUUUUACCAAGUAUCCCCAAAAUAUAUAGAAGACUCCACCCGUACCCCUCUUUUAUCUCUCUAAGUCUUGACUCCACCAUAGGCCUGGCCACUCUAUCGCUCUCUCUCUCUCUCUCUGUCUCUUCUCCCUCCUCAUUCACAAGUGGCGGCGAUGGUGGUGGCGAUAGUGAAGGUGGUCACAACGAUGGUGCUUCGAAUUCAAGGGUUUCAAUUGGUCGUCAUGGUGCAUGGAGAAGAUGAAUGGUCGUUUGGGUAUUGUGAACAAGGAACUGGAGUCUUUAGCUGCCCUGCUACAAAAAACCCCAUGUAUACAUACCAUGAAAAAAUUGUUCUUGGACAAACCAACCUUUCUGUCUCCAAGGUUAAUCAGAUCUUGAGGGAACUGAGUUAGAGAGUGGCUAGGGGAAUCCUAUGAUUUGCUCGCACGAAAUUGCAAUCAAUUCUGUGAUGAUUUAUGUGAAAGGUUUGGUGUUCCAAAACUUCCAGUUAUAGUAUAGUAUCAUUGCUACCUUGCUUUAAUUAUAACUAAUUGUAAUUAAUUUAAUAGCCCUUGUGUUAAUUGCAUUUAUUACUGUCACGAGUUGACUUUUACAUUCAUAAGAUUGUGCUCUUUUGGUAUGUGAUCACCGAAUUGAGCCGAGGCUCCAAAUCUGUACUUUAGAGCUAUAUUAAUAUUUUACCAUUUUUUAA